rnacentral:rRNA from 1 species
CUGGCGGCACGCCUUAUACAUGCAAGUCGAACGAAGUAGCAAUACUUAGUGGCAGACGGGUGAGUAACAUGUAGGUAUCUACCCUUUGGUGAGGAAUAACACGAGGAAACUUGUGCUAAUACCUCAUAAGUCUUUACGGAGAAAGCUUUAUGCGCCGAAGGAUGAGCCUGCACUUGAUUAGUUUGUUGGUGGGGUAAUGGCCUACCAAGACUUUGAUCUAUAGCUGAUCUGAGAGGAUGAUCAGCCACAUUGGGACUGAGACACGGCCCAAACUCCUACGGGAGGCAGCAGUAGGGAAUAUUGCACAAUGGAGGAAACUCUGAUGCAGCGAUGCCGCGUGAGUGAAGAAGGCCUUUGGGUUGUAAAGCUCUUUCGUCGGGGAAGAAAAUGACUGUACCCGAAUAAGAAGGUCCGGCUAA